CCUACGGGUGGCAGCAGUGGGGAAUAUUGCACAAUGGGGGAAACCCUGAUGCAGCGACGCCGCGUGAGUGAAGAAGUAUUUCGGUAUGUAAAGCUCUAUCAGCAGGGGAGCAAAUGACGGUACCUGAUUAAGAAGCCCCGGCUAACUACGUGCCAGCAGCCGCGGUAAUACGUCGGGGGCAAGCGUUAUCCGGAUUUACUGGGGGUUAAGGGAGCGUAGACGGCAGCGCAAGUCUGAAGUGAAAUGCCGGGGCUUAACCCUGGAACUGCCUUGGAAACUGUGCAGCUAGAGUGCAGGAGAGGUAAGCGGAAUUCCUAGUGUAGCGGUGAAAUGCGUAGAUAUUAGGAAGAACACCAGUGGCGAAGGCGGCUUACUGGACUGUAACUGACGUUGAGGCUCGAAAGCGUGGGGAGCAAACAGGAUUAGAUACCCUUGUAGUC
rnacentral:rRNA from 1 species